rnacentral:rRNA from 1 species
GCUUACGGCCAUAUCAGCCUGGGUACGCCCGAUCUCGUCUGAUCUCGGAAGCUAAGCAGGGUCGGGUCUGGUUAGUACUUGGAUGGGAGACCGCCUGGGAAUACCAGGUGCUGUAAGCA